rnacentral:rRNA from 1 species
GGUUAAGCGACUAAGCGUACACGGUGGAUGCCCUGGCAGUCAGAGGCGAUGAAGGACGUGCUAAUCUGCGAUAAGCGUCGGUGAGGUGAUAUGAACCGUUAUAACCGGCGAUUUCCGAAUGGGGAAACCCAGUGUGUUUCGACACACUAUCAUUAACUGAAUCCAUAGGUUAAUGAGGCGAACCGGGGGAACUGAAACAUCUAAGUACCCCGAGGAAAAGAAAUCAACCGAGAUUCCCCCAGUAGCGGCGAGCGAACGGGGAGGAGCCCAGAGCCUGAAUCAGUGUGUGUGUUAGUGGAAGCGUCUGGAAAGGCGCGCGAUACAGGGUGACAGCCCCGUACACAAAAAUGCACAUACUGUGAGCUCGAUGAGUAGGGCGGGACACGUGGUAUCCUGUCUGAAUAUGGGGGGACCAUCCUCCAAGGCUAAAUACUCCUGACUGACCGAUAGUGAACCAGUACCGUGAGGGAAAGGCGAAAAGAACCCCGGCGAGGGGAGUGAAAAAGAACCUGAAACCGUGUACGUACAAGCAGUGGGAGCCUCUUAAUGGGGUGACUGCGUACCUUUUGUAUAAUGGGUCAGCGACUUAUAUUCUGUAGCAAGGUUAACCGAAUAGGGGAGCCGAAGGGAAACCGAGUCUUAACUGGGCGUUAAGUUGCAGGGUAUAGACCCGAAACCCGGUGAUCUAGCCAUGGGCAGGUUGAAGGUUGGGUAACACUAACUGGAGGACCGAACCGACUAAUGUUGAAAAAUUAGCGGAUGACUUGUGGCUGGGGGUGAAAGGCCAAUCAAACCGGGAGAUAGCUGGUUCUCCCCGAAAGCUAUUUAGGUAGCGCCUCGUGAAUUCAUCUCCGGGGGUAGAGCACUGUUUCGGCAAGGGGGUCAUCCCGACUUACCAACCCGAUGCAAACUGCGAAUACCGGAGAAUGUUAUCACGGGAGACACACGGCGGGUGCUAACGUCCGUCGUGAAGAGGGAAACAACCCAGACCGCCAGCUAAGGUCCCAAAGUCAUGGUUAAGUGGGAAACGAUGUGGGAAGGCCCAGACAGCCAGGAUGUUGGCUUAGAAGCAGCCAUCAUUUAAAGAAAGCGUAAUAGCUCACUGGUCGAGUCGGCCUGCGCGGAAGAUGUAACGGGGCUAAACCAUGCACCGAAGCUGCGGCAGCGACACUAUGUGUUGUUGGGUAGGGGAGCGUUCUGUAAGCCUGUGAAGGUGGCCUGUGAGGGUUGCUGGAGGUAUCAGAAGUGCGAAUGCUGACAUAAGUAACGAUAAAGCGGGUGAAAAGCCCGCUCGCCGGAAGACCAAGGGUUCCUGUCCAACGUUAAUCGGGGCAGGGUGAGUCGACCCCUAAGGCGAGGCCGAAAGGCGUAGUCGAUGGGAAACAGGUUAAUAUUCCUGUACUUGGUGUUACUGCGAAGGGGGACGGAGAAGGCUAUGUUGGCCGGGCGACGGUUGUCCCGGUUUAAGCGUGUAGGCUGGUUUUCCAGGCAAAUCCGGAAAAUCAAGGCUGAGGCGUGAUGACGAGGCACUACGGUGCUGAAGCGACAAAUGCCCUGCUUCCAGGAAAAGCCUCUAAGCAUCAGGUAACAUCAAAUCGUACCCCAAACCGACACAGGUGGUCAGGUAGAGAAUACCAAGGCGCUUGAGAGAACUCGGGUGAAGGAACUAGGCAAAAUGGUGCCGUAACUUCGGGAGAAGGCACGCUGAUAUGUAGGUGAAGCGACUUGCUCGUGGAGCUGAAAUCAGUCGAAGAUACCAGCUGGCUGCAACUGUUUAUUAAAAACACAGCACUGUGCAAACACGAAAGUGGACGUAUACGGUGUGACGCCUGCCCGGUGCCGGAAGGUUAAUUGAUGGGGUUAGCGGUAACGCGAAGCUCUUGAUCGAAGCCCCGGUAAACGGCGGCCGUAACUAUAACGGUCCUAAGGUAGCGAAAUUCCUUGUCGGGUAAGUUCCGACCUGCACGAAUGGCGUAAUGAUGGCCAGGCUGUCUCCACCCGAGACUCAGUGAAAUUGAACUCGCUGUGAAGAUGCAGUGUACCCGCGGCAAGACGGAAAGACCCCGUGAACCUUUACUAUAGCUUGACACUGAACAUUGAGCCUUGAUGUGUAGGAUAGGUGGGAGGCUUUGAAGUGUGGACGCCAGUCUGCAUGGAGCCGACCUUGAAAUACCACCCUUUAAUGUUUGAUGUUCUAACGUGGGCCCCUUACCGGGGUUGCGGACAGUGUCUGGUGGGUAGUUUGACUGGGGCGGUCUCCUCCUAAAGAGUAACGGAGGAGCACGAAGGUUGGCUAAUCCUGGUCGGACAUCAGGAGGUUAGUGCAAUGGCAUAAGCCAGCUUGACUGCGAGCGUGACGGCGCGAGCAGGUGCGAAAGCAGGUCAUAGUGAUCCGGUGGUUCUGAAUGGAAGGGCCAUCGCUCAACGGAUAAAAGGUACUCCGGGGAUAACAGGCUGAUACCGCCCAAGAGUUCAUAUCGACGGCGGUGUUUGGCACCUCGAUGUCGGCUCAUCACAUCCUGGGGCUGAAGUAGGUCCCAAGGGUAUGGCUGUUCGCCAUUUAAAGUGGUACGCGAGCUGGGUUUAGAACGUCGUGAGACAGUUCGGUCCCUAUCUGCCGUGGGCGCUGGAGAACUGAGGGGGGCUGCUCCUAGUACGAGAGGACCGGAGUGGACGCAUCACUGGUGUUCGGGUUGUCAUGCCAAUGGCACUGCCCGGUAGCUAAAUGCGGAAGAGAUAAGUGCUGAAAGCAUCUAAGCACGAAACUUGCCCCGAGAUGAGUUCUCCCUGACUCCUUGAGAGUCCUGAAGGAACGUUGAAGACGACGACGUUGAUAGGCCGGGUGUGUAAGCGCAGCGAUGCGUUGAGCUAACCGAUACUAAUGAACCGUGAGGCUUAACCUU